rnacentral:rRNA from 1 species
AACGAACGCUGGCGGCAGGCUUAACACAUGCAAGUCGAACGCCCCGCAAGGGGAGUGGCAGACGGGUGAGUAACGCGUGGGAAUCUACCUAGUUCUGCGGAACAACAGUUGGAAACGACUGCUAAUACCGCAUACGCCCUACGGGGAAAGGAUUUAUCGGAAUUAGAUGAGCCCGCGUAAGAUUAGCUAGUUGGUGGGGU